AAAAAUGAUCACAACUGUGCUAUUGUAUGAAUCUUGUAGCAAAAUUUUUCAUAAUAUGUAGUGUUUAUACAUGAAAUAACAGUUAAUGGAAUGGGCAAAAGUACAACAAGCUCUGGAGAUCAGCUCUACAAGAAAUUGUUCUAUGCUGACCAGAUGUAGGACAAGUACUCAAAAAAAUAAAAAAAAUAAAAAUUUCUGUAGUGCUACCCUGACCAAAAAGGUAAAAAUAAAUAACCUCAUAGUGUUGGCAAAGACCCAUAGAACCACCCUCGUCUACCAUCUCACCUAGAGAAGUGAGUGAAUAAAAAGAAAAUAAAGCCCUAAGACACAAUAAAGUUAUACACAUUUGCAAAUGAAUGCAUUUAACAAUUGGGCUUGUUGGAACUGCUGUAAAUAGAAAACUUGAUCUCAAAGCAACAGUAGAGGGGAUUGAUAUCACUUGCAUAUAACCUCCAAAUGAUUCCCCUGAGGAAGCAGCAAACCAAAUAUCUUCUAAAAGUACUUUCCUGCUGCUGUUUGGUUAUCUGAUUUACCCGCUAAAUCAUAAUGCUAUUGCGUGUUAGCUACUGCAUGAAUCUGCAAUGGAAUCAUAUUCAGAUGGUGAGCUCCUUAAAAGCCUCCAGCUUUCCAUUUGAUGAAACGGAAUCUGCAAUUUUGCCACCUCCAGGAAGGCUUGCACUACCAUUCUCAUGGUUCUUGCCUAUCUGAUUGUACACUGAGUUGGGCAUGGCAGAGCUGCAUUUGCCUUCAAAGUAUGUAGAGUAGGGGAAGUAAUCGGCACAGCGCACCUUCCACCUUGAUGCAGCAUCAUGGUCAGUGAGAGCUGUUUCUAGUAGUUUGUGGACUGCAAUGCAGUCUUUGAGCUUCCAUCCCUUGACCGGUCCGAGUGCUCCAUUUACUGGCACAAGGUUGUUGGCUGAAUCUUCAAUUAAUUUAAUAGCAUCGGAUUUCUUGUUAGGUUCUAAAACAUAUUGCAUCUCUGCAACUGCAGCUCUAUGCAUCAAAGAAUCUUUGUGUUUUUCAAGGAAAAACUUGUUUGCCUCAAUCAGAGAUUUCUCAUGCAAUUCACUGAUUGAUGGUCGUUCUGCUUCCAAGACACGCCAAAUAAGUUUCUCUGUAUCCAUCACUGGAGCAGUCAUUGAUCCCACUUUAUGGAAAAAUCUUAUCAAGCAGCAAUGAGAAUCAGGGUUUUCAGCAUCCAACCUUAGCAAUUGCUUUACAGCCUGUAGAGCAAGCAAAAUUUUUUGCUUUCUCAUAUUUACUUCAAACGAAAGCAAGUGAGUCUCCAAAGAGUCAGAUGAGUUCUUCUGAAGCAGUUUCAAGUACUUUGUAGCUUCCAAUAAUGGAUCUUCAACCUGCAAUAACUUUUCCCCAUUUGGAUCUGGAUCUGCAGGUUUGACAUGUCGCUUUCCUGACUUAGAGACACCACUAGCACUUGAUUCUUCGUUCUUUACCUCUGCCUCUCUCUUAGCUCGAGCUUCUGCCCUUUUCAGUUUUUGUCUCUUUUUCUUUUUCUGAGAAGGCAGCAACUUUGACAUUUCAUCAUCCUCUUCAGUUGCCAACUUAGAGGGAGAAUCAUGCAAUUUUAUGUAACAUCUGAUAGCUCCGGCAGCUGCUUUAUGAAAAUAUGCAUUCGAAUGUAACCUAUCUUGAAAUUUAAGCAUUGCCACAUAGGCACGUAAAGUCAUUUUCCUUAAGCAAUAGGAAUGGAAGUCAAAUUGAUCCUCAGUAAUAUCAGCGUAGUGCUUCUCCACAGCUAAAAAUUUCUUCAGAGCCCGUCCAAGAUCACCUUGGCGGAAGUAACUCUCACCAGAAGCAAGUUCAUACCACAUGCACUGCAUGUCAUGAAGGUUAUUAUGCUGAUCCCCAUCUUUGGUAAAUAACAGAGCAGUUUUUUCUGCCAAAACCACCUGAUCAGCCUGCAGCAUACGUUUGACACAUUCACUAUUUAUAUAGCGAUCAGCAAGAUCCAUGCAUCUUGCUUCAUCUGCCAAUGCUGAAGCUGCUGCCAAAUCACCAGCAUGCUUCAAAAUCCGGCUCUUGACCGAGUACAAAUCAAUCACAGUUGGAGUGUGUUCUAUAGCCUCAUCAAUUUUGGUUAGAGCAAUUUCAUAUUGUCUCCGCCUGUCAUAAUGCUGAGCCAAGAAAAAUAAUGUCCACAUAAGUGUUGAAGGAGGUUCUUUGUCUGUCCUCCUCGGGUAUCUCCCAGUCAAUCUAAUUGAAUGCUCCAACUCAAGAAUAAGUUUUUCCAGUAUGUCUGCCUUGCCAGCAUGGUCAUACAAGGGAGAAAGAUCCGAGAAUAAUGAAGGAACACCCUUGGUAAGGAGGGGCCUAAUAUAAUUGUCUGCAGCUUCAUAAAACUUGUCUCCUUGGAGAAAAUCAAGCGGUAUUCUCUUAACAGCAGAUGACCAAGUAUACUGCUGCCCAAGAGAUUUGUACAAGCCAUCCAACUUAUCAAUUUCAUCAGCAGAAUAGCGGCCAUUUUCUGAAUACAGCCCAACACAUUUUUGCAGACCUUCAUAAUAUCUGUAAUUGUCAGGAUUCAUGGCAAGUAACACCCUGUAUAACUCAGCUGCCUCUUCAAGGCGACCAAGCUUCACCAGUAGAGAAACUUCCUGUUCUUUGUAUGCCAACUUAUCAACCUGAGUCCAUAUCAAGCACUAAUUAUCAGCAUCUGUUCAGAGUUAUUAAGGUUAACUAUCACGUACUUACAAUUUUUGACCCUUUCUUGUGCAAUUCCUCAAGAGCUCUCUCAAGAGAGCCACAUUCCUCUAAUAAAGAGAUCUGGAGGUAAAAGAAAAUGGCAGAUAUAUAACCAUCAAUAAACUGCUGAGAUGUCUCAAGGGAAUUUCACAUGCACCACUAGCUCAUAUGGUCAGUCCUAACAAGGAAAGGCAAGAACUCAAUACUUUAAAAAAGAAAAAAAAAAUCCAUACUAUUUGAGUUAUCUGUGGUAAUUGACAAAAAAAUUGCACAAGAAUCACUGUGAAAGGCAGUAAGCUUAGAAGUGAAAAAUGACUUCUUCAAACUCAAGUGAAAGCGAUUUGUGUUAAAAUAUGUGCAUGAAAGAAUAUGUUUGAGUUGCAAAAACGCUUCUCCGAUCCAAAUUCCAUUCCAUCAAUGUAAUUUUUUGCACUGUUCUUUCAUAAUUAAAGCCACAAUAUUAGCCAACUCAUCUUACCUAUUCAACCUGUGUCAUCCCAUCUGCCAAAUUCAAUUUUAAGUUCUGUAUUCACAUAGAGCGAUUUAGGAAAUUGACUAACAAACCUCCCAUUACAGAGAAAAAGAAACUUUAUUCAAAUCUAACAUGCUUGAAAUUCAAGUUUCAAAUACCCAAGAAUGAUAAUUGUCAAGCACUUGAAAACUUCAGGCAACAUGCAUUGAAAUUUAUAAAUAAAUAAAUUAGGCCAAGGGAAAAAAAGGUCCAAGCAAGUUACUCAGUCCAAGACAUGCAUCAGUUUAGCCAAUAGUUAGGCUGCCCUUAGAAUCAGCCCAUACUAGCAGCUCAAGAAAAUGAGUAAAAUCAAACACCAGGCUCUCAAAUCUACACACAUAGUUAAACCCACAAUGAAGUAAAUGCACAUCACAGUGCAAAUAAGAAAACUAGAAGCUGAGCAUUCCUUGUAAUAUUAAUAAAUGACAUGGUUUUGCUUCAGCCAGUUUCUUCAACAUUCCAAGACACUAAAGCUAACAAGCCAAAGCUUGAGAUAAAUUACUUAAUAAAUGUGCAAACAUUAUCGUUUCAGCAAAAGAUUGCAUCUAUGCACAUCACAGUUUUGCCAGGACAAAGAGCAUAGCAAAUAAACAGGACGUCAUUUGCGCAACUGCACUGUGCAAUAUCAACACCACAUUGGGCAAAAGAAAAUUAUCAAUAUUAAGCUUCACCCUCAAAUCAAAUCUCCCAGCUUCUACAGAUUUAGUUAUGCCAGACUAGAACAGCCUAACUCAUAACAGACUGGAACAGGAAACCAUUCUUAAUGCUAUCAUUGCAGUCAUUAAAACUGCCAUUCUGGAUUUCAUUUAACAGAUAAGAACAGAGGAAAUUCACAACAAAGAAUUCUAACAUGAAACACCUGACAAGUGAAAAGAUGCAUGAG
rnacentral:misc_RNA from 1 species